GACAGAGGUGCCGAGCGUUAGGCGGAAUCACUGGGCUUAAAGCGUGUGUAGGCGGGUCCGUAAGUACCUUGUGAAAUCCCACGGCUCAACCGUGGAACUGCUCGGUAUACUGGCGGUCUUGAGCAACCUAGGGGCGAGCGGAACAAAUGGUGGAGCGGUGAAAUGCGUAGAUAUCAUUUGGAACGCCAAUGGUGAAAACAGCUCGCUGGGGGUUUGCUGACGCUGAGACACGAAAGCCAGGGGAGCAAACGGG
rnacentral:rRNA from 1 species